UACGUAGGGGGCAAGCGUUGUCCGGAAUUAUUGGGCGUAAAGAGCUCGUAGGCGGCGUGUCGCGUCGGAUGUGAAAGCCCGGGGCUUAACUCCGGGUCUGCAUUCGAUACGGGCAUGCUUGAGUGUGGUAGGGGAGAUCGGAAUUCCUGGUGUAGCGGUGAAAUGCGCAGAUAUCAGGAGGAACACCGGUGGCGAAGGCGGAUCUCUGGGCCAUUACUGACGCUGAGGAGCGAAAGCGUGGGGAGCGAACAGG
rnacentral:rRNA from 1 species